rnacentral:rRNA from 1 species
UACGUAGGGUGCGAGCGUUGUCCGGAAUUAUUGGGCGUAAAGGGCUCGUAGGCGGUUUUCCAAGUCAGUGGUGAAAGCCCGGAGCUCAACUCCGGAACUGCCAUUGAAACUGUUAGACUUGAGGAUGAGAGAGGUGAGUGGAAUUCCCAGUGUAGAGGUGAAAUUCGUAGAUAUCAGGAGGAACACCGGUGGCGAAGGCGGGUCUCUGGGCCGUAACUGACGCUGAGGAGCGAAAGCAUGGGGAGCGAACAGG